rnacentral:rRNA from 1 species
UACGAAGGGAGCAAGCGUUGUCCGGAUUUAUUGGGCGUAAAGAGCGUGUAGGCGGCCAGACAGGUCCGUUGUGAAAACUGGAGGCUUAACCUCCAGACGUCGAUGGAAACCGUCUGGCUAGAGUCCGGAAGAGGAGAGUGGAAUUCCUGGUGUAGCAGUGAAAUGCGCAGAUAUCAGGAAGAACACCCGUGGCUAAGGCGGCUCUCUAGUACGGUACUGACGCUGAGACGCGAAAGCGUGGGGAGCGAACAGG